GACGAACGCUGGCGGCGCGCUUAACACAUGCAAGUCGAACGGAGACAUUCUGUUCACUGGGUGGUGGAAGCGAGCGAGUGUUUGAAAGAACAAGCGUCGAGCUUCUACUGCUGAGUGAAUAGAAUGUCUUAGUGGCGGACGGGUGAGUAACACGUGAGGAACCUGCCUUGCAGUGGGGAAUAACAGCUCGAAAGAACUGCUAAUACCGCAUAAUGUAUCUUGACCGCAUGAUCGGGAUACCAAAGAUUUAUCGCUGUGAGAUGGCCUCGCGUCCGAUUAGAUAGUUGGUGGGGUAACGGCCUACCAAGUCGACGAUCGGUAGCCGGACUGAGAGGUUGAUCGGCCACAUUGGGACUGAGACACGGCCCAGACUCCUACGGGAGGCAGCAGUGGGGGAUAUUGCACAAUGGGCGCAAGCCUGAUGCAGCGACGCCGCGUGUGGGAAGACGGUCUUCGGAUUGUAAACCACUGGCUUUGGGGACGAUAAUGACGGUACCCAAGGAGGAAGCUCCGGCUAACUACGUGCCAGCAGCCGCGGUAAUACGUAGGGAGCGAGCGUUGUCCGGAAUUACUGGGUGUAAAGGGAGCGCAGGCGGGAAGACAAGUUGGAUGUCAAAUGGAUCGGCUUAACUGAUUCUCGCAUUCAAAACUGUUUUUCUUGAGUGAAGUAGAGGUUGGCGGAAUUCCUAGUGUAGCGGUGAAAUGCGUAGAUAUUAGGAGGAACACCAGUGGCGAAGGCGGCCAACUGGGCUUUUACUGACGCUGAGGCUCGAAAGCGUGGGGAGCAAACA
rnacentral:rRNA from 1 species